ACUCCUACGGGAGGCAGCAGUGGGGAAUAUUGCACAAUGGGGGAAACCCUGAUGCAGCCAUGCCGCGUGUGUGAAGAAGGCCUUCGGUUGUAAAGCACUUUCAGUAGGGAGGAAGGUAGUGUAGUUAACACCUGCAUUAUUUGACGUUACCUACAGAAGAAGCACCGGCUAACUCCGUGCCAGCAGCCGCGGUAAUACGGAGGGGUGCGAGCGUUAAUCGGAAUUACUGGGCGUAAAGCGCAUGCAGGCGGCCUGUUAAGUCAGAUGUGAAAGCCCGGGGGCUUAACCUCGGAAUUGCAUUUGAAACUGGCAGGCUAGAGUCUGUAGAGGGGGUAGAAUUUCAGGUGUAGCGGUGAAAUGCGUAGAGAUCUGAAGGAAUACCAGUGCGAA
rnacentral:rRNA from 1 species